UACGUAGGGGGCAAGCGUUGUCCGGACUUAUUGGGCGUAAAGCGCGCGCCGGCGGCUAGUUAAGUCAGAUGUGAAAGGCUGCGGCUCAACCGCAGAGCUGCAUCUGAAACUGAUUAGCUUGAGUGCAGGAGAGGAUAGUGGAAUUCCCGGUGUAGCGGUGGAAUGCGUAGAGAUCGGGAGGAACACCAGUGGCGAAGGCGCCUGUCUGGACUGUAACUGACGCUGAGGCGCGAAAGCGUGGGGAGCAAACAGG
rnacentral:rRNA from 1 species